CCCUUAGAUGUCCUGGGCCGCACGCGCGCUACACUGAUGCAUUCAACGAGUUUUACCUUGGCCGAGAGGCCUGGGCAAUCUUUUGAACGUGCAUCGUGAUAGGGAUAGAUUAUUGCAAUUAUUAAUCUUGAACGAGGAAUUCCUAGUACACGCAGAUCAUCAAUCUGCAUUGAUUACGUCCCUGCCCUUUGUACACACCGCCCGUCGCACCUACCGAUUGAAUGGUCCGGUGAAGCCUCGGGAUUGUGGCGAGUUUCCUUUAUUGGGAGUUUGUCGCGAGAACUUGUCUAAACCUUAUCAUUUAGAGGAAGGUGAAGUCGUAACA
rnacentral:rRNA from 1 species